CUUUGCUCACAGUCGUGACGAAGUAGAACAGGAAGAUGACCAGCACUAUGAGAGGACUGAUCACCCUCCAGGUGGCCUGCCAGAAGAAGUUGGGCUUGUGACCGAUCAUGAACUUGAUGUCAUCGUUGAACCUGUGUACAGAGAACAGCUGUCAAGCAUAAAGAGCUGAGACUCACUGCACAGAGUUGUAGCUGGAGAAUGAGAUCAGUCCUCCAAACGCCAGAGAGAAGGAGUAAAACACCUGCGCUCCUGCGUCCAGCCACGUCGCCGGAUUCAGCAGCUCGUCCAGCUGAACGAGACACGCUAAACAGCUGGACAGAGAAGGUGGAAGAAAAGGAACACGAGGGCUUUGAAGACAGAUGAAAAUUGAUACCAUAUUUUCUAAAAAACAUAGCCAAGAGGACGCAAGUAAAUGAUGAAUAGAAGAGGGCCCAAGACCGAACCCUGGGGAACACCAGUGGUGACUUUAGAUGAUUUUGAUUGGAAAUGUUUAAGUUGAACGAACUGAGUUCGACAAGAGAGUUAAUUUAAGAGUUGGGGGAACAAGGCCAGAAACAAGUGAGGAAUUUACCAUUUUAGUAUCUAAAUAAGACAAAUAUGGUAGACAGGCUUUAGCUAAGUCAGUUGGUAAAGAGUCGAGCUGACAGGUGGUAUUAUUUGGAUUUCCAGAUAUGACAAAGUAUCUCCUCAACAGUUGAUAGAGUGAAAGUAGAAAGGACAGAAUGUGGAGGCACAGGAGAAACUAGAUAGAAGGAAUCACAACCUGAAUUAUUUACAAGUGAACUGAACUGAAUGUAGUCGGGUCA